UUUCGCAGCCAUGGCAUCUCCACAGAAGGUGCGAAACCUCUCCUACCAAAGGUAGCCGCUAUUAAGGAUUUCCCAUCACCAUGCACUACUGAAGACCUACAGGAGUUUUUAGAGCUCUGAGCUGUGAUGGCCACAGUAUGUGCCCCGCAGUCCAAUGGUCUAUGUGAUCGGUUUCCCUGCUGCUCUGAGGGCUUCCCUGACUGAUGAGUGUUGGCACGAUCGCCUCCCAUGGGUCCUGCUGGGGCUCAGAACUGCUGCAAAGGAGGACAUACAGUUGUCCAUGGCUGAUUUGGUAUAUGAACAGCCAUUACAAGUUCCAGCAGUAAGGGAACAGCAGCAGCAGUUCUCAUCCAUCAUUCGUACAUGUGACGUGACUGCACCUGAACCAUAAUGUGAGGCAUCGUAGGCAAGCAUCACUGGACAUUGAGG